GCCGAGGUUCAAAAAGGGUAUAAUAUUUUCAAGCACUUUGGGUGAAAAUUUGGCUAGAGAAUUCACAUGCAAUUCAAUCAAUCAUCAAGAUUAAGGCAAUAUCAUUCAUGCUUUCCUAUGAACAAUACAUACAACAAUGAAAACUCUGGAGCUCAAUACCUCACACAACAUGCUUUCUCACACAAUAUUCAUUCAUACACCCUGCUUAGCAUCAUAACCACAAUCAUAAUUCAUCAC
rnacentral:lncRNA from 1 species